rnacentral:rRNA from 1 species
AGUGAACGCUGGCGGUAGGCCUAACACAUGCAAGUCGAACGGCAGCACAGUAAGAGCUUGCUCUUACGGGUGGCGAGUGGCGGACGGGUGAGGAAUACAUCGGAAUCUACUUUUUCGUGGGGGAUAACGUAGGGAAACUUACGCUAAUACCGCAUACGACCUACGGGUGAAAUCAGGGGAUCUUCGGACCUUGCGCGAUUGAAUGAGCCGAUGUCGGAUUAGCUAGUUGGCUGGGUAAAGGCCCACCAAGGCGACGAUCCGUAGCUGGUAUGAGAGGAUGAUCAGCCACACUGGAACUGAGACACGGUACAGACUACGACGGGAGGCAGCAGUGGGGAAUAUUGGACAAUGGGGGAAAGCCUGAUCCAGCAAUACCGCGUGGGUGAAGAAGGCCUUCGGGUUGUAAAGCCCUUUUGUUGGGAAAGAAAAGCAGCAGGUUAAUACCCCGCUGUUCUGACGGUACCCAAAGAAUAAGCACCGGCUAACUUCGUG